rfam:Balearica pavonina gibbericeps contig10930, whole genome shotgun sequence.
AUACAGGUUUUUUUCAAAACCAUGUCAAAAAGAGAUACACUAAUUUU